CAGGAGUUGGGGCUCUUCGUCGUCCUGCUUCGAGGUUAUUUUCGAAAUUUAUCAUCCUGCUUUAGGGUUAUUUUUGGUAAUUUGCAUCUGAGUAUUGUGGGUGUACAUCCCUUUUGAUCAACACGUGUGUGUCGGCUGCGUUCUUCAGUCUACUCAUCUAUGUCUUCUCUCUGUCUCUCUUUUAGAUUCACCCUGGCUUAGGGAUCUUUGUUCCCCUUUGUUUUCUCCCUUUAGGUUUGAAAUUGAAAUGACAUAUUGUGGGCUAUUGAAUUUUUUCCUGGGUUCUCCUUUUUUUUUUGUAUUCGAAAGUUCUUUGAUGGAAUGGAGCUCCUUCAUCUAGACUUCAUAUUCCUUCUGCUAUACUUCCAUUUUAAUGGUUUCAAAGCAAGACUAGAGAAGAUGACCGUUGAUAAUACGAUAUUUGCCGCGACAUCAGACUCUAGAAGGUACAGAAAUUUCUGCUGUUGUAGAAUUAUUUAUGCCUUCGGUUCAUUUCUUAACUUAAUUCUAAAACGCAUGUUGUCUUUUUAAUAUUUGGUGUCAAAUUUUUUCGUCUGUCCAAAUUGCCUCACAGUACAAUCUCUGACAGGUCGUAACUUUUUGGAGAUUUGAGAGGGUUGCACUAGGGUGUUCUUUGGGGAUUUUGCCCUCUUCUCCUUUGUCCUCCAUCUUAGUUGAUCCUUACGGUUAAAAAAAUAAAUUUACUGAAAGUUAUUGUAGACAAAUUUCACACAUGCAUAUAUUUAUUGACUACAUUAUUCAAUUCCUUAGCAGUCGAACACAAUGAGAAUUGAGAAAGGCUCUGCGACCAAAAUUUCAAGACAUCGGUAAUGCACUUAUGUUUUGUUAAGUAUUUUUGUUACCUUUCAACUUACUGUCUAGUAGCUACCCAGAGAAGAACCUGAGAUCAAAAGAAAAAAACUAUCAACAACCCAACUACUACACUAUAUAAAUAUUAUAGUUACUUUUUAUUAGUCGAUUUUUAUAUUCGCAUAAGGGAUCCAUCAUUCAUUCGCCCUGUUUCACGCAUUAUCUUCAGAUGCCUUGUUAGAUGGUAGGAUAUACUUUGUCAUUCAAGUUGGCGAUAGAACAAGUAAGUAGCUUCUGAAUGUGUUUAAUCUUUUCAUUAUGCUACAUGCUUGUUCAAUAGCGAGCGAAUGCAAUUGAACAUCAACAACUCACUCCAGUAUCUUUUCCAUUGAGUGCAGGUGCAACUAUUGCCAUAUGAUGUUAGAAGCAUGAUAUAAGCAACUCAUCAAGGUAAUAAUUUCUAAUAAAAUGUUUAAGUUGAUUUUUCCGGUCAAGAAUCCUAUGACCAUAUAUCGAUAGGAUAGUCUGAUUCAUGUUAUGAGUUUACUUCUUUUUAUUCUAGAAUCACCACGUCAAUGUUGUCUGAUAUACAUUGAAGUCAUAAUUCAUAUGCUCCCUACGAUGUUGUAAGAAAACAAUGUAGAUAAACUACUACUAUUUCUAUCUGAUGGAUAUUUCUGUACCUAAGUUAGACUUCAAUAGUUUUUGUUUUCUUGAGCGACACUCUGUUAGUAUGGUUCUUGACAUUAUUUUUUCAUCUAAUGUGACACUAAAUAAGAGCCUUUUUUCCCUGCAUGUCAAGUAAUUUGGGAUCAUACUCAUGCUUAUAAUGAUACUGCCUUUUAGUCACAUUGUAAGUAAAUGUUGAAAACAAUUAUUAAAUUACCUGUUCUGCAUAGGUAUUAGGUUUUUUGUUCAGACUAGCCUGAUAUUGAAUCUUAAUAUCCAUCAAAGAUGUAUUAUUUUAAAUACCAAGGGUUCAGUUUGAAGGGAAUGAAGAAGAACGGAUAUUCAUGAGAUAAAGUGUUCCAGGAACUUAAUAUAAUAUGGUAUUCAAUGAAUUUAUUUUAGAGAGUUUUUGCAACAUUUUGAUGAGGAUUUUCUUUCGUUCAAUUGAGCAUGUGAAAAAUUGAAUGCAGGAAAUAAACCUUCAUAUUGUGCGGGGAGUUGUGUUGAAAGUUAAAACUUCCUUCUACUCAAUCUACACCUGCAGUCUAAGUUGCCUCCUUUAAUCAUCUUCCCACCCUACCUUUUAAGAAAAAAAAGGGAUAAUAAUCAUAUCCUUGACUUUUAAUAACUCAUAAUACAUUUAAGAAUAGAAACAACUCUCUAUGUAAAGGAGAACAAAAUUUAAUUUCUUGAAUUGUAUCUGGAUAUAGGGAUGAAAAGAUCAUGCUUCAUCCACUUUUCUCUUCCAUAAGAUUUUAGAAAGCUAGACUAUAUGCUUUUUCAUAGAAUAAAAAGUUGAAGUGUUGUACAUGUUGAAAUUCACAAUACAUUACCAAAUAAAAUUGCUUGUAAAUCAAUCCCUGCUCCAUUAUCUAUAAAAUUGGUAAUAGUCAUACUAUGUACAGACUAUUAAAAGGCCAAGCAUGCCUGAAACAUGUCACCUUAUGAUACUUUUGGUGAUGGAAGAUGUACCAUUAUUAUUUCAAUGGUAACCUUAGUGUAACUCUUCUUCUUUGACUGGACGAAGCAAAAAUCCUGCAUGACAAGGAAAAAUAUCCUAAUGUGCUACUUUUAGAAGUAUUGCAUUUUUUACUUUGUUUAGUAAAAACAUCACCCUAAGAAUAGAGGAUAAUACAAGUUCACUAUUUUCUUAAGCUCAAAUUACAAUGAUACACGACAUGUUUGUAAGUUAUAACACCUAACUCAUAUACCGUGGGAAGCUGAACCAGUUAAUAUGUGAAGCUCACGUAUUCUUACUUAAUUCGUUUAUGUUUCAUUAAUUGUGGUCUAUUGUUGCUUAAUUUAGUUUUUACAGGCUAAAGCAGUAGGACCACCUACUGUUUCUUAACAAUUUGUAUUUUAGGACUGUUACUCAGUUAUGCCUUUAUGAAUAUGUUAGUGCUCUUAAAUUCUACGAAUGAUUGUUGUGAACUUGAGUUGGAAAUCCUUUAUUAGCUAAAUUUUAGGAAUACUUAAAUAGUCAACAGCUACCUUACAGGAAAUAGCCUUCGGUUCUAGAUUUUCUAAUGUACCUGAUGAAUGAUUAGAUAUUUCAUUUCCUACUCUAUAUGACGCAAUAAGACGGGGGAAAAAGGUGAACCUACUAGAUGAAUUUAUUAUCUCUCAUGGUUAUUGCUUUUACUUUGCAUUCACUCAUUUGUAUGGAGGCCAUAUUUCCUUGGGAUUUGGAGGAAACUAAUAACUACUUCCCACUACAGAAAUUUUACUUGAAACCAAGUUCCUAAACUCAAGCCUCUUUUGGUCUUUGGCUAAACACUUUUACUAACUAAAAGAUAUUUUCUUUUAUUUUCUGCCUCUUCCUAAAAGAAUUCAAUAUAAUGAUCAAUGUUAUCAGUAUUUACCUUUUUGCUUGAUGAAAGAGGUACAUGUCGGUAUCCUCAGUAUAGUAAUGAUCAUAUUCCCACUCUUCUUCAAUGAUUGGAUUUGGUCAUAUUUUCUUAGAUGCACUUUCGAAAUAUAGUCAGAUGUUGACAUCCUUUUUUUCUUCUGAGAUAAAGAUGCUGACUUCUAUACUUAAAGUUUAUAUUACUAUUAACGUCAGAAUUGAUUCUUGUUCACAGAGAUACCGUCCAAUAUUUUUUGAUUUUAUCCUAAUUGUAGUGCUUCAUCUUGCCUUCAAAUUCAACCUGAUUAAUGCGAUCAAGUCACAUUGAUCAAGUCAACUGCCUUGUGAUAUUUUAGAUGUCCUACUUUGAACAAAUAGAGAAAUGAUGUAUCAUGGCAAAAAUUUCAUGACAUCACCCUGCUUGUAAUUUUGGGACUUAAUGGCAACUCAAAUGCAUGGACAAGGCUUCAUAUAAUAUCCUAUUUUGGUUAUCUUGCUGCAGUAUCUUGAUGACAGGUCACGCAUUAGAGAUGCAGUUAGGAUGGCUGAUGUAAGCAUUACUUUUUAUAUUUAACCAUUGCAAUGCUUUGGCCAGAACCUAAUAUUUUUGCUGAGAUGUCUCUGCUUUCAAAUAUGACUGACAUCCACCUGGACGCUUGAAGAUUUUAAGGUUGCAAUUGCACAAGAUAUUAGCUCUUCACCAAUAUCAGAUACCAACUUAAAGGUCUAAUAUGGCUAAGGAACUGUAUACUCUGUUUACAUCGAACUUUUAUUAGAACUGAAUUUUAAGCGAAACUAAAAAAUGCACUUUCACUAUAUAAAUUUGUAUAUAUUUGUCUUCCUAUUGUGUUUGGUGAGGUGCUGAGUACCAGUCUCUUGAACCAUAUCCAGAUAUAGGGAUGAAAAAGUCACGUUUCUUCCACUUUGAUUGGCCAUAAGAUUUUAGAAAACUAGACUAUAUGCUUCUUCUUUGAACAAAAGGCUGAAGUGUUGUUGGAAAUCACAAUACGCUGUCAAAUAAAAUUACUUGUAAAU
rnacentral:lncRNA from 1 species